UAGUUACAACUAAAGCUUUCUUAUUUUUUUAAAAAACUAUUAUCUUUUCUUUAAAAAAUAUUUAUUUUAAAAACUUUUAAUAAUUUAUAUCUAAAAAUUUUUAUCUAUAAAAAAAAAUGAUAAAAUCUUUAAAAUUUACCUUAAUUAUUUUAUUGGUCAUUCUAUCUCUAUGUUAUUCAAGUGUUGCAGUUGACAACAUAAUCAGGACCCGUUUCAGACUAAAAAGAAGUAAAAGUGAAGAUUGUCCCAUAACUUGCUUCAGAUAUUGUCCCAAUGGUUACGUAUUAGAUAAGUUUGGAUGUCCUACCUAUUGUCCUAUAAUUUGCUUCAGACCUUGUCCCAAAGGGUACGUAUUAGAUUGGUCUGGAUGUCCUACCUGUAAAUGUUUUGAAGAUUAGCAUUUUUUAAAUAUUGUCCUAUAAUUUGCUUCUGGCAUUGUCCCAAAGGGUACGUAUUAGAUUGGUUUGGAAGUCCUACCUGUAAAUGUGAAGAUUAGAAUUUUUUAAAUGUUAAAACAAUAUUGUAUUAUAUCUAUAUACAUAUAAUUAAAAGAAUACGAUUAAAAUUCUAACCAAUAAUAUUUCAAUAUAUAUAUAUAUAUAUAUACUAUAAACUAAUUUAUAUGUUAUAACUAUGAAAUAUUGAACAACUUGAUAAUUUAAUAAGGGAAUGUAUAAAAUGUUAAACUGUAUACACAUUUUUUAAAAAAAAUUUAUAUUUAAUAAACAACUGAACUAACAACUUACUUCAUAU